CCCGGAUAGCUCAGUCGGUAGAGCAGGGGAUUGAAAAUCCCCGUGUCCUUGGUUCGAUUCCGAGUCCGGGCACCA
rnacentral:tRNA from 8 species